AAGAUUGAAGAAGUCAUAAAAAUGUAUUAUAUUUAUGGUUGUCAGCAAUGACUAUGGUAAUAAAUGUCGCUUAUAAUAGGCGUUUUGGACUCGGGGGCGGUACCCGACGCCUCCACCAUUAAAAAAUUAUGGGGGCGAACUAGCUUCGACAGGCGUUAAAAAAAGUGGAUUUUACCCGGUAUGAUACCACCGAUUAUGGGUCAAAAUAGUAAAUGCAAACAAUAUUGCAAACGACAAUGUAAGAUUCGCUCCUAUGGCUCUAGCAGCUUAAGUGUGAAUUAAUCAUUAGCGGUUUGGGGGCUACCGGGCAACAGAAAGCCCCUUCU
rnacentral:tmRNA from 1 species